AUCUUGAAUAUGUGGGAGAGGGGACCAUGUGCAGUGGAGAAGACCAACAGCUACUAGAAGGCCUACAAAUACCUUGCUCAAUCAUAAGGUUAAAUUCUUCACGAGCAAAUUUAAGCUUCUCAGGAGAAAGUCUUCGUGGAGUAACAGAAAUAGGAGGUCCUCUUGUAACAAUAUGAUGUUCAACUUGAUGUAACUUGUUGGAAGUCAAAGGUGCAAAAUGCGUUAAUUCAGGAAAUCUUGCAAGGAUUUUAUGGUAUUAAUCCUGGAUCCAUUAGCAGCAAACAGUUUAAAAGAUGAAGAAGAUUGAGAAAACUGAGCUAAUCUUUUAGGAAUCAAUGAAAUGUCAGCUCCGGUAUCAACAAGAAAAUUGAGUAAUGAAGUUUUAUCAGUAACAAUGAGGCGACUACAAGGUAAACCGUCACAAUCUGCCUCAUGACUCAACGGCAAAAUCAGUUUUCCGGAUUUGCAGUAAAAGCUUUAGACAUAGCACAAGAUCUCGAUCUGCUUCUAUAGCGUUUAACUUCUAAAGCGGAAAUUCUACGCUCCAAAUCAGCUAAACUAGAGGAACCAGAUUCAGGUGUAGAAGUUACAGCGGCAAUUUGUAAGCCCGAAUCUCUCUCCAAAAUCUUAUCAGCCAAUUCAGCAAGCUUGAUUAAAGGAGCUUCAUCAACAACAGCUAAAAUAGCUUGAACUCUAAGAGAAUCAGAAAAUCGAUUUAUAAGUACAUUUUUUAAAUAAAGAUAUUUAUCUCGCUCUGGAGGAUUUUCAACAAUCUCAGCAACAGCUACUAAAGCUUGUUCAUCAAGAAGCAGAUGUUCUUGAGGUUGUUCAGUCGAUGUCCCAGGAGAAGACACAGGAGAACGUUCAACAGGCAUCUCGAAGAAAGAUUUCAAAUUUCGUGCACGACAAUCGUCAGGAGAGCCAAAACGUAAACACGAUUCUUUGACAGGCUUGUCUUUUCAAUCACGUCGGGGUCACCAGUUAUGGGAAAGAUUUCCCUAUUCUAUCUUAUACUUAUGAAAUAAAUAGACUUUGUAAAGUUAUACGUGUUUACUAAUAUCAAGCUUACAAAAGAAUAAAUAAUUUCUUUUUUUAAUAAA
rnacentral:lncRNA from 1 species